UACGAAGGGGGCUAGCGUUGCUCGGAAUCACUGGGCGUAAAGCGCACGUAGGCGGACUCUUAAGUCGGUGGUGAAAUCCUGGAGCUCAACUCCAGAACUGCCUUCGAUACUGAGAGUCUCGAGUCCGGGAGAGGUGAGUGGAACUGCGAGUGUAGAGGUGAAAUUCGUAGAUAUUCGCAAGAACACCAGUGGCGAAGGCGGCUCACUGGCCCGGUACUGACGCUGAACGACGAAAGCUAGGGGAGCAAACGGG
rnacentral:rRNA from 1 species